rnacentral:rRNA from 1 species
AACGAACGCUGGCGGCAGGCUUAACACAUGCAAGUCGAACGCAUCCUUCGGGGUGAGUGGCAGACGGGUGAGUAACGCGUGGGAACGUGCCCUUCAGUUCGGGAUAACCCAGGGAAACUUGGGCUAAUACCGGAUACGUGCGAGAGCAGAAAGAUUUAUCGCUGAAGGAUCGGCCCGCGUCUGAUUAGCUGGUUGGUGGGGUAAUGGCCCACCAAGGCGACGAUCAGUAGCUGGUCUGAGAGGAUGAUCAGCCGCAUUGGGACUGAGACACGGCCCAAACUCCUACGGGAGGCAGCAGUGGGGAAUAUUGGACAAUGGGCGCAAGCCUGAUCCAGCCAUGCCGCGUGAGUGAUGAAGGCCUUAGGGUUGUAAAGCUCUUUCGUCCGGGACGAUAAUGACGGUACCGGAAGAAGAAGCCCCGGCUAACUUCGUGCCAGCCGCCGCUGUAA